rnacentral:rRNA from 1 species
GACGAACGCUGGCGGCGUGCUUAACACAUGCAAGUCGAACGGAAAGGCCCUGCUUUUGUGGGGUGCUCGAGUGGCGAACGGGUGAGUAACACGUGAGUAACCUGCCCUUGACUUUGGGAUAACUUCAGGAAACUGGGGCUAAUACCGGAUAGGAGCUCCUGCUGCAUGGUGGGGGUUGGAAAGUUUCGGCGGUUGGGGAUGGACUCGCGGCUUAUCAGCUUGUUGGUGGGGUAGUGGCUUACCAAGGCUUUGACGGGUAGCCGGCCUGAGAGGGUGACCGGCCACAUUGGGACUGAGAUACGGCACAGACUCCUACGGGAGGCGGCAGUGGGGAAUAUUGCACAAUGGGCGGAAGCCUGAUGCAGCAACGCCGCGUGCGGGAUGACGGCCUUCGGGUUGUAAACCGCUUUCGCCUGUGAGGAAGCGUGAGUGACGGUAAUGGGUAAAGAAGCACCGGCUAACUACGU